AUAUUUGGUUUUCUUGAAAAUUUAUUGUAGCAGAGUAAUCUAUUUAUAUAAAAUAGAGUUUAUUCACUCCAGAAUGCGCCACCUCAGCAGACAGAUCAGAAAGUCGUGCUCUAAAAAAGUGACACGUGUCUCAGGAAGACAAAACACAUUCUCUCCCCUUCAUUCGACGGCGUCGACGCCUGAGUUUCUUCAUAUUAUCUAAAACGGUCCGAUUUAAGGCUUUCGUGUUAAAUCUCAUUGAUCCGGUCGCUCACGAUGAGUUCUGCGAGACGGUGUGUGUUAGGUAUAAGUAUGUGAACAUAAGGGCGAUCAAGCUUCCAUGCGUUCAUGAUAUUUUGAGGUGCAAUCAACUCAAGCUUUAAACCAGGUCUUCGUGGCUUCAUCAAAACAUGAAUCUAAGAAGGCUCCGUACAAUGAUUUUGAGGGUCCCGGUUUCAAUCCCUAAUACCGUUUAAGAAUCAGUUGACUGGAAGCGGCAGUACCUAAAGUCUGGGUAGAUCGAGUUUCCAGGUUUUGCUUUCAUACUACUCUGACUACUUUAUGAAAUCUGAUGAAGUUUUUCAAAAGGAAACUAACGUUAAUUCUUUGAACAAAUUGUUUUUUGAGGUUUUGUUUUAAGCCUUCUUCUCUGACCAUUUUAUGAAAAUCCGAUGUUAUCACUUACAAGGUUUUGAGAAAUUAACAGAGUCUUGGGAUGGAAUUGAAUUAAAAGAGGGUGAACAACUUCAAACAUGCAAGGCAGAACAAACCACUUUGGCCUCGAAAUUACCUUCUUCCCAACUUAUUAUCCACUGCAAAAAAACCACUGGAAAUGUAAAGCGUCAAUUAUAGAGAAAGUUAGCCUUAUUUUCAAUUGAAUUGCUUAUAGAUUCAGAGCUAACCUGUAGGAAAUGUCGGUGAUGGAUUGUUUAUAGAUUCUAUAUCAGAUUGAUUAAUGGGCUAACAGGGUUUAAUGAUGGCAAGAAUUUUCAUAUAAUAUUGUAGGAAAUGUUUUCUCACAGAUUAAUUGUUUUCUGGUCUGGUCAGGUCAACAAGAUUUAGUUUCCUAAAGUUUCUGGUGUUGUUCCUGUCAUCCUGAUGUGAUAACUUCUAAUUUUUCUGGUAAGUGGCUACUGGUAAUCCGAGGAGACCAAUAAACCUAUGUUUAUUCUUGAUAUAAUGAUUGUUUUGCCUGAUGUUGCCACUUACAAUACGAUCAUACGUGAUUAUUAACACGAUAUUAAUCGAUGGUACUUGCAAACAGAGCAGUGUUGGCAAGGGGAUAAAGCUUUAAGAUUAAAUGAGUGCAUUGUUAAGAUUGCGUUGCAGGUUAGAUCAUUCCGAGAAUUUCAAGAGCUUCACUUGGAAGAACGUCUUCAACUCCUCCGGGGGUUGCUGGUUUGUCGGAGAGCAAUGUUGUAGACAUCGAGAAGGUGUAUAGAAAUGAUACCUUCUUUGAAAGUAGGAGUCACGUGCAAAACAGAAGGUGAUAGUUCAAGCUUGGAUCACUCUAAAACUUUUCAAUUGACUCUUAGGCGCUAUUCCUCCCUCUCCUUACCACAAAGAGAAAGGCUUAUGGGCUCUUCUUGCGGAUUCAAACAAUGUAUGGCUCUUUCAAAAGGUUAGUUUCAUGGAUGGAGCUGAAGCUAUACUCUUCUUCAACUGAUGUUUGUUAGACAUUGAAAAGUUUAGGAGCAAGCGUCGAGGCAAAGAACAAUGAAGUUAGAGAAGGUUAAAAGCCGAUCAAGAUUGGAAAUGGGGAAACGCUAAAAAACUUGCAGAAGAUACUAGUAAUUUGACUUGCUGAUGAGUUUUGCGUAAGAGAUGGUUGGAUCAGUUGUGAUCAAAAGACAUUACUUAAAGUUGAGGUUUUGAAAAGAACCAGUGAUUUGGAGGGUGAGGUUACAGAAGAAGGCAUGGAGGAGGGAGAAGAAAAUGAGAAUGAAGAGAAUUAUGAAAACAAAUAUAGUGAGGAAGAGGAAGAUAAGAAGAAAGGAUCAAAGAGAGUAAAAAAGAUGGGAUCAGAUGAAGAUUGAAAAACAAAAAGGCGUCAAACCUGCACUGUGUAGGUUUUUGCCUCCAAAAUUUACAGUGAUACUCAAUGACUUUAGCCUGUUAUUUGUUCUUCCGCUGAUUUCGUUGACGUUUUGGAUUUUGAUGGUUUUGGACUUUUGUUAACUCUUUAAUUUAUGUCUUGAUCCGACUCUUCUAAGCUUUACUGUAAAAUUAUGCUUCCUGUUUCGGUUAUUUACCUGGCUUUGGAUGUGUUUUAAAGGUUUUACUGGGUACAG